CCUACGGGAGGCAGCAGUGAGGAAUAUUGGUCAAUGGGCGCGAGCCUGAACCAGCCAAGUCGCGUGAGGGAAGACGGUCCUAUGGAUUGUAAACCUCUUUUGUCGGGGAGCAAAAGACGCCACGCGUGGCUUUCCGAGGGUACCCGAAGAAAAAGCAUCGGCUAACUCCGUGCCAGCAGCCGCGGUAAUACGGAGGAUGCGAGCGUUAUCCGGAUUUAUUGGGCUUAAAGGGAGCGUAGGCGGGCCUUCAAGUCAGCUGUAAAAUCGCGCGGCUCAACCGCGCCCCGCAGUUGAAACUGGGCGUCUUGAGAUGACAACAGGUAGGCGGAAUUCGUGGUGUAGCGGUGAAAUGCAUAGAUAUCACGAGGAACCCCGAUUGCGAAGGCAGCCUGCCGGGGUGCGACUGACGCUGAGGCUCGAAGGUGCGGGUAUCAAACAGGAUUAGAUACCCGGGUAGUC
rnacentral:rRNA from 1 species